rnacentral:lncRNA from 1 species
ACUCGGCUGCCAGCUCCACUGGCGUUCUGGCAAGGGCAGCGCGGAGGGGCGCUCCUGGUCCAGCUCUCCCUGCUCGGGAGUGUAUGAAUGCUUUGUGUUCUGACAAAGAGACUGUAGCUCCCAUGUCCUACCUGCUUGGUUGCAUUGCCAGUGCCCACGUCAUUGCUUGUUUAAAAUCUACAACUGCUGACGUUUUGUAACCUUCGCAUUCCAGAUACAACAGAGAAAUGCAUAAUGUCCAGUGAAUUUAUUAAAGUUCCAAAGUCGGUCGCGCGCAGUGGCUCACGCCUGUAAUCUCAACACUUCGGGAGGCCGAGGCGUGUGGAUCACGAGGUCAGG